GGCAUAGCUCAGUGGUGCAGCAUCUGCUUUACAUGCAGAAGGUCCCAGGUUCAAUCCCUGACAUCUCCA
rnacentral:tRNA from 1 species